GAUGAACGCUGGCGGCGUGCCUAAAACAUGCAAGUCGUGCGGCAGCGGGCCUUCGGGUGCCGGCGAGCGGCGGACGGGUGAGUAACGCGUAGGAACGUACCCCAAAGUGAGGGAUAAGCUCCGGAAACGGAGUCUAAUACCGCAUAUGCUCUUAGGAGUAAAGGAGUAAUCCGCUUUGGGAGCGGCCUGCGUCCGAUUAGCUUGUUGGUGAGGUAAUGGCUUACCAAGACGAGGAUCGGUAGCUGGUUUGAGAGGAUGAUCAGCCACACUGGGACUGAGACACGGCCCAGACUCCUACGGGAGGCAGCAGUUAGGAAUUUUCCACAAUGGGGGCAACGCUGAUGGAGCAACGCCGCGUGCAGGAAGACGGCCUUCGGGUUGUAAACUGCUUUUAAAAGUGAAGAUUAUGACGGUAACUUUAGAAUAAGGAUCGGCUAACUCCGUGCCAGCCGCCGCAGUAA
rnacentral:rRNA from 1 species